UGGGGAAUAUUGGGCAAUGGGCGAAAGCCUGACCCAGCGACGCCGCGUGAAGGAAGACGGUCUUCGGAUUGUAAACUUUAGUCAACAGGGACGAAGAAAUGACGGUACCUGUGGAGGAAGCCACGGCUAACUACGUGCCAGCAGCCGCGGUAAUACGUAGGUGGCGAGCGUUAUCCGGAUUUACUGGGUGUAAAGGGUGUGUAGGCGGAAAGGCAAGUCAGAUGUGAAAAUUACGGGCUCAACCCGUAACCUGCAUUUGAAACUGCUUUCCUUGAGCGUGGGAGAGGUGAAUGGAAUUCCUGGUGUAGCGGUGAAAUGCGUAGAUAUCAGGAGGAACACCGGUGGCGAAGGCGAUUCACUGGCCCAUGACUGACGCUGAGACACGAAAGCGUGGGGAGCAAACAGG
rnacentral:rRNA from 2 species